GAUAGGAAGUUCGAGAAUACGGUUCAAUGGGGAAUUGUUUUAGCAUCUCAGCAUGAGAGGUAUUUGACUGAGGUGGUGUUCUAGAAGCUUGCUAUUAUUUUUUAACUACCCAAAGGAUGAAGCCAUUUUAUAUUAGGCUCAAUGAUGACCAAAAGAGAGUCGCUGCUAUGGAUGUUUUUGUUCCCCUUCUGUUUCUUUAUCAUGGCCAUAAUUUGGAUUAUCAUAUUAUUAUU